AUUUAAUUUUUAAAUAUGUGGGGACUAUUGAAGCAAGUGAGGAUGCUGCUUUUAACAAAAUCACGAGGAGCCUUCAAGAUCUCCAGCAAAAAGACAUUGGAGUAAAGCCUGAGUUCAGCUUUAAUAUACCACGGGCAAAACGAGAACUGGCUCAGCUGAACAAAUGUACUUCCCCUCAACAGAAGCUGCUCUG